rnacentral:rRNA from 1 species
AAUGGGGGCAACCCUGAUCCAGCCAUGCCGCGUGAGUGAUGAAGGCCUUAGGGUCGUAAAGCUCUUUCAGCUGGGAAGAUAAUGACGGUACCAGCAGAAGAAGCCCCGGCUAACUCCGUGCCAGCAGCCGCGGUAAUACGGAGGGGGCUAGCGUUGUUCGGAAUUACUGGGCGUAAAGCGCGCGUAGGCGGGCUGUUAAGUCGGGGGUGAAAUCCCGGGGCUCAACCCCGGAACUGCCUCCGAUACUGGCAGCCUAGAGAUCGAGAGAGGCGAGUGGAAUACCGAGUGUAGAGGUGAAAUUCGUAGAUAUUCGGUGGAACACCAGUGGCGAAGGCGGCUCGCUGGCUCGAUACUGACGCUGAGGUGCAAAAGCGUGGGGAGCAAACAGGAUU